rnacentral:lncRNA from 1 species
AUGGCGGGCGCCCCCGACCCGGCUUCCCCCACGGAACAUCCUGCAGGCCCCAGACGCCAGCGGCACAGAGGCAGGGGGCCUGGACCCAGAAAGGCGGGGGGGCUGGACCUAGAAAGGCAGGGGGGCUGGACUCGCAGAGGUGGGGGGGGCCUGAACCUGCAGAGGUGGGGGCCUGGACCCGCAGAGGUGGGGGGAGGCCUGAACCUGCAGAGGCGGGGGACCUGGGCCCGCAGAGGCCAGGGGGCCUGGACACGGCCAGCCGGCCUUACUGGACUUCCCCCUCACCAUGGGUGUUCUCGGUGCCAUCCCUGGCUCUCGCAGGCGCCAGUGUCUUCCAGCACAGCCCUCCCGGCACCACAAGCCACCAUCCCGCUGCCCCCACCUCCACGCAGCCCACCCGGCAGCUCCCAGGGCCUGGCCACCACUAAUCUGUCCUCCAUCUCUGAAAUUCCAGAGCUGACCCCAUCUCCAGAGCCCCUCACUCACUUUCCAAGGGUCCACCUUGUCCUCCCCCCCAGGGGCAUUUCACAGCUGAGCCAGGUGGGUCCCCAGAGGCCCGAGCCAGCUGGCCACAGCAGGGGGACUGGGUUUGUGGGAGCUGCUCCGGCCCCAACCCCCAGCGCUCGGCCUGCCUGGCCCUCGGCAGCCUGCCCGGAGGCGGGGUGGGGUCUCCGCGGUCCCUCCCACCCCCUCCGGGGCCUGGCACGUCCCUCGAUGGAGGCGAGAAGCCAUGCGCUAGCUCGCCCCUGGGUACAGCGCGGGGGAAGGGUCACACCCGCAGAUCCGCGAACCGCCGCGCGCGGAGCAGUCAGCGAGGUGCCAGGCGCAGAGCCGGCGAGGCGCGGGGAGAGCGCCCGCGGCCCCAUUUGGCAAUGAAUUAUGCAUGGCCUUCUGCUCACGCUCACCGGGCUGCGCUCUGCUCCGCGCCUCCUGGGCUUCCCUCGCCCGCAGGGGCGCAGGCUCCCCGGGGCGGGCAGCGUCCUUUGUCCUGCGGGGACCCCGCCGCCAGCGUCCCCAGGAUGCCCACUUCCCAGGCUGCAGGACCAAGGGCCGGGGCCGGCUCGGGGCCUCCUCCACCAUCACAGUAAUAGCCAGGGCAAGGCCGACGAGGCCGCGCGUUACCGGCCUUUCCCAGGCGCUGGACCGAGGGGCAGAGGAGCCGGAGAACGGUCACUGCGCAAAGCCCAGGGCCCCACCUGCGCAGGGGCUGUCCUGAGUGCGGGGGCGUGGGCAGCGAGGAAGCCAGCAGCUGAUGGCCUGCGGUGGCCAGGCAGGGCCUCUCUCAGGAGGUGGCGCUGGGCAGGGCCCUGGAGGAGGUGAGGGGCCAGCCAGGGAGCAGCCGUGCCGGCCAAUGGAGCAGUCGGUGCAAAGGGCCUGUGGCUGCGGCAUCCCGGGCCGGCUGGUGCAGCGGGGGGCAGGAGGGUCUCAGGGCCACCGGGCGAGGCGCCUGCCACCACUGGCCCACUGGAGAGAUGCAAAAACCCAGAGCCCGGUGCCACCUUUCCAUGUCAGGAGAAUGCCACGGCCUGGGACCUCCUGCCCAGGGAGGGGCGGCAGGAGCCUCCCCCGCCACAGCCGCCACGCCAGGGCCGGGCGCUCCGCUGUCCCACGCCAGGGCUGGGCGCUCCGUCUGCCCUCUCCAGCCCAGACCCCGCCCAGCCCACGCCCACCCACCCGUGCCAGGCCCACGGCAGGCAGGGGAGGCGCCGCUUGCCCUGUGCCAUGCACCCUCCAGGCUGGAAUCAAAGCCCUCAGAGGCGGUGGGCGGGGCGCGCCCACGGCCCUGCCGGCGUCAGCCCCAGCGCGGACAGCAGAGGUGUCCAGACGUGGACCUGCGUGGCCUGCACGAGGAGGGCGGAGCCAGAUCCUCCGUGAG